CUGUAUCUAUAUAGGCUACACAGUAACCGCAGCCGCACCAUGCUUCUUGUUGUUGCAUCAUAAUCGGUGUGCUCUGUCCAAAGCACUGCUCAACUCUUUCGGCAUGGUAUGCGAAACUAUGCGAAAAUUGCAUCUCCCCUCUUCUUCAGCGUUAGCGUACCUCACUCAGUAUAAGAUCAAACAUCACACAUCAUCUAAGAAAAAACCAAAGCUCAUGCUCAACCUGGUGCUAGGCUAGACCCAAAAUCAAUUCUAGUUACAAGGGAUGUAGGGACUGGCUGGAAGUAAUAACUAAUAAUGGAGAAAGCGGAAGUAGGGUGACCGUACUACUGGAGCUCCAGCUUCCUGAACCACUUUCACAACUUGCAGCUUCCAGCAUCUCUGAAUCUCGCAUCAAGGUCACCUGCCAAUAGCAUCUGUGACUAAUUGGCUCAUCGACGAUGUGUCUUUUAUUUCGGAUUAUACCCACAUAAGCUUUACGCUUAUGAACAAUGGAUGAAAUGAUGAUGAGGUGAUUAAACAACCGCCAACACAACCUGCCUACCGGCGGGAUUCGGACCCACGACCAGGCAGCGCCAGCAGACAGAAGGUUGCAACGCCUCAGUCAACUUAGCUGUUUUUCAAAUCAUCAAAUUAUACCAUUUCCCGUGAUGGACUCAGCCAUACUUGAAAUCACAGAUUUUAUACUAUUUUGCGUCUUGCCAGUAUUUUCGUGAACGACCAGGCCAAAAAUAUUCAACUUCAGAGAAGAAAAUCAAAGAUUCUGAUGACAAAAUUUCUUUGAAGAAUUUGGAAAACACAAACAACAUCAAUGCUUUUUUGGAAUGCAUGUCAUGUAUUGCAAUAGCAAAAGAAUUGAGCAAGGCUAUAUGCCUGCACAAUGAAAGAUUUGAAAAGGUUUCACAUAUGAGGAGAGAUGAUGUUCCAUGUUUUCUUGAUUUAGAGGAUGUUUGCACUCAUAACUUUAUUGGAUUUGAUCUUCAAGACAAAAAAUCCAUUAGAGUAUUAGCGCCUUCAAGUUUUAAUGGCAGACAUGUACCGGUGCAAAAUAUAAACUGGAAUAAAAACAAGACUGGUGUUUUUGGUUCAUGUCAGUCAAUUGAAGUUGAGUGCAACUCAAAGCUGUUAUAAGAUGGAAGUAUAUCUCAUUCGUGUAACAAUUAAAAUUCAAGUCACUUUUCAAGAUAUCACUAAAACCCUCCUAUGUGCCAAAUAAAUAUGUAGCAAAAUAUUAUUUUAUUUUCC